rnacentral:rRNA from 1 species
UACGGGGGGAGCAAGCGUUGUUCGGAUUUACUGGGCGUGAAGGGCGCGUAGGCGGCCAGCACAAGUCAGUUGUGAAAUCUCCGAGCUUAACUCGGAAAGGUCAACUGAUACUGUGCGGCUAGAGUGCGGAAGGGGCAACUGGAAUUCUUGGUGUAGCGGUGAAAUGCGUAGAUAUCAAGAGGAACACCUGCGGCGAAGGCGGGUUGCUGGGCCGACACUGACGCUGAGGCGCGAAAGCUAGGGGAGCGAACGGG